CCGUCACCAUUCAUACCCCUGUCCCGGGCCCGCUCACCGACUAAGGACGUAGUAUACUCGAGAUAUACCCGUCCUGGUAGUUGGAUACAGAAGUCGAGGGAUUCACCCAACGACGCAACUACAUUUUAGAUUUAUGGUAGUUGGAUACAGAAGUCGAGGGAUUCACCCAACGACGCAACUACAUUUUAGAUUUAUGGUAGUUGGAUACAGAAGUCGAGGGAUUCACCCAACGACGCAACUACAUUUAGAUUUAUGGUUUCAGGAGAAAAAUGUUUUUGCACAAGUCACCACUCGAACGGCUAGUGCGAUAAAGUACACACAGCUCACUUCGAUG
rnacentral:lncRNA from 1 species